rnacentral:rRNA from 1 species
GACGUAGGUGGCGAACGUUAUCCGGAAUUAUUGGGCGGAAAGGAUGCGUAGAUGGUGUAGUAAGUUAUCGGUGGCAAAUCGAGGCUCAACCUCGUGGAAGUCGGUAAUACUGCUAUGCUAGAGGAUAGGAGAGGUUAACGGAACUCCCUGUGGAGCGGUGAAAUGCGUAGAUAUAGGGAAGAACACCAAUCAGGCGAAGGCAGUUAACUAUUCUAUUCCUGACAUUGAGGCAUGAAAGCGUGGGGAGCAAAACGG